UACGGGGGGGGUAAGCGUUGUUCGGAAUUACUGGGCGUAAAGGGCUCGUAGGCGGCCAACUAAGUCAGACGUGAAAUCCCUCAGCUUAACUGGGGAACUGCGUCUGAUACUGGAUGGCUUGGAUUCGGGAGAGGAAUGCGGAAUUCCAGGUGUAGCGGUGAAAUGCGUAGAUAUCAGGAGGAACACCGAUGGCGAAGGCAGGUCUCUGGGCAUUAACUGACGCUGAGGAGCGAAAGCAUGGGGAGCGAACAGG
rnacentral:rRNA from 1 species